rnacentral:rRNA from 1 species
GGCCGCGGGAAUUCGAUUCAGGCCUAACACAUGCAAGUCGAGCGAACCCUUCGGGGUGAGCGGCGGACGGGUGAGUAACGCGUGGGUAACCUGCCCUGUACACACGGAUAACAUACCGAAAGGUAUGCUAAUACGAGAUAAUAUGUAAUGAUCGCAUGGUUGAUACAUCAAAGCUCCGGCGGUACAGGAUGGACCCGCGUCUGAUUAGCUAGUUGGUGAGGUAAUGGCUCACCAAGGCGACGAUCAGUAGCCGACCUGAGAGGGUGAUCGGCCACAUUGGAACUGAGACACGGUCCAAACUCCUACGGGAGGCAGCAGUGGGGAAUAUUGCACAAGGGGCGAAAGCCUGAUGCAGCAACGCCGCGUGAGCGAAAGAGGCCUUCGGGUCGUAAAGCUCUGUCCUCAAGGAAGAUAAUGAC